CUUGACCACAACUCAGCUGAGUAGAAGAUAGUCAAUAAGAAAAGACAGUCAUGAAAAAAUUAGCUCCAGAUCUAAGAGAAGUCUGAUUAAGUGGAUUUCUUCACAAUACCACCCAAACGAUUGGUCCUCUAUCAUUUGUCAGGAACAGAGCCAGUAGAAUUCUGGAGAAAUUGAUUAUACCAAGUCCAAGGUAAGUGCCAAAGAUAAGUAGUUCCCUCAGCAAGAAGAAGGCGACCUCCCAUGAGCAGGGUUUUCAAGAGGGAAGGAAAGAAAGCAAGACACCUCUGAGCAUCCCAGGGAGGUAGGAAGAACACACCUGGGAAGAACAUAGUCUUGAAUGGGAAUACUGGAUAGAACUGAAAUGACUCAUGCAACUUUAUAUGGAGAUACCUGAUUUUGGUUAAUUACUAUCCUUCAAGAAAUGGUGGCUUCCCCCUCUUUGUUCUUUACUCAUAAUUCAUUAUUAGAUCUGUACUUGUGCAAGCAAAUAGUAGUAAAAUAGCAAAGAUUUUACCCCUGACUAAGCUCUGAGGAUUUGGGAGAAGCUCACAUAAUAGGCUUUGGAAUGCAGAGCAAGAGGUUUGGGGAUGUAGCUUAGUAGUAGAGUGCUUGUCUAGCAUGCAGAAGACCUACUCUAUCCCCAUACAGAGUAGAAGAACAGAAACACUCCCACCUUUCUCAAGGUUCACGAGGAUGAAUGUCACGUGUGGCUCAGUUAAAAUUGACUUAGUGAAAAGAACAAAAACUUUAGGCCCAGAAGCCAAUAAUCUGUAAUACUGCUGAUGAAUUCUGCAACUGACGAAUGCACAGAAGCCCAAGUCAAGGGAACUUUUAGGUCAGCUUCACCCAUUCAGAGAUUGUCACAAAACCUCAGUAAUUCAGAUCUUACUAUUUGCUCAUUGGUAGGCACUCAGACAAGGGCAUCCUGUUCUUCCCCAAAUUGAUCUAAGUGAAGUGUUUUUGUGCAAUGUUAAUAAAAAUGCAAAUUGGCUAA